AACGAACGCUGGCGGCAUGCCUAACACAUGCAAGUCGAACGAGACCUUCGGGUCUAGUUGCGCACGGGUGCGUAACGCGUGGGAACCUGCCCUUAGGCUCGGAAUAACUCUCCGAAAUGGGUGCUAAUACCGGAUAAUUUCUUCUGACCAAAGAUUUAUCGCCUUUGGAUGGGCCCGCGUUGGUUUAGCUUGUUGGUAGUGUAAAAGCCUACCAAGGCUACGAUCCAUAGCUGGUCUGAGAGGAUGAUCAGCCACACUGGGACUGAGACACGGCCCAGACUACUACGGGAGGGAGCAGAGGGGAAUAUUGGAAAAUGGGCGAAAGGCUGAUCCAGCAAUGCCGCGUGAGUGAUGAAGGCCUUAGGGUUGUAAAGCUCUUUUACCCGGGAUGAUAAUGACAGUACCGGGAGAAUAAGCACCGGCUAACUCCGUG
rnacentral:rRNA from 1 species